rnacentral:misc_RNA from 1 species
CACACACACAUACACACACACACACACGCAAAUAUACCCCAAAGGAGGAGAAUCCCUCUUGCGCUCGUAGUUAUUCUGGACAUUUCAAGAAUCAGAGACGGCGCGUGUAUGUGUGUUGUUUCAUGAACUCGCAGCCGUCGACUCGCCGCCAUCGUUCCGCGGAGGGGGUGCCCCCCAACUCUUCUUCGUUGCUUGCCUUCGCGACAACCGCUGAUGCUGCCGUGGAACCUCGCCCCGCACCCCAGAGCACGAACGGUGAUGCGCUUCAGUCGCUCACACCAUCCAUGAGCUCCUCGGCGUCGUCGGCGACGGCGGACACACAAGCGCAUGAUCCGGCGGCAGAACCUGGGCCGGUGUCGUCGAGGCCCGACGCGGUCGGGGGGCCCGUGCGCAGCCCAACAAUCCGGCCACCGCCCAACAUGGUCCUCUGUGGGCAUCCGCACCAUCGACACUCUCAUCUGAUCCCUCGAUCGAGUGCGAGCAUGGCAGCGCCUGCUCAAACUGCUGCUGGCCGGCUGCAGGGGUUGGCAGCGGCAUCCUCGGCAUCUGCUCAAACAUCUGACAUGGCGACAAGACACUCGUCGACGCCGCCACCUUAUGCCCUCGUGAUGGACUCGCUGGUGCGCCGCUACCGCGCCGAAGAGGACCGCCUUAGGCAGUGGCGGCAAGGUGGUGGACGCGUCUGCGCCUCUGCCACAUUCCGGCAAGGUGAGGUGCAGUCGCGGCGACAACCGAGAGGUGCUGUAGAAGGAGAGGUGCUCACUCACGCAGGCUUGCGCGGAAGUACCGGGUGUGUCCUGAGCGGUCACACAAAUAGUGCUACAGAUAGUGGUCUUCGAGGGGUGCUGACAAGCGCUGCCCAACGCACUGCCUUCGUACGGGCUGCGCAGGCCUGGUGGCGGAGCAGAAGAGAGCUGCAACGAAUGUCAAGCAAGGCGAGCAAGCGAGUUUAUCCAGCGCCGCUAUCGGCUUCCUCAUCUGCGGUUGCAGGCGCAGAGACGCAGCACCCCAGCUACACGACGGCCGCGGCAGUGCCGUCAGCGCCUGCUGCCCCUCCUGUUGCUCUGCCUGCGUCGUCACUGUCGUGGUUGGAUACAGCUGGCCGCAGCAUACUUGGUCGCCUCUCUCACUCGCUGUCCCUGUCCAGUGACCGGGGAAAGUCGGUUAGGUUGGAGCUCCUGCGGCCGGCUGACGCUGCGCAACCACGUGGUGCGCGCAGAGACUACCAAGACGACACAGUCGACGGCAGCGUGAUGGAGGGCCAGCAGGCACCAGGAGCAGAGAUGGCCGAGAUGACGGCAGAGGCAGUGUCAGCGGCUGUGACCACGCCUGCCUUGUCGCCGUCUCUUAUGGGGAGCGAAGCUCUCCUGGCGCAUCCUCGCGAGAGUGCACGUCAGCAAGCCGGCUCGGGGGGCAGGGGCGGAGCCUUCCAUCGUCGGCAAGUCGACCGUGAGGAGGGAGAUUUGGACACCUCCACAGCUUCGUCGACGUGCUCGAGUAGGGGUAGCCGCGUGGGUGGUGCAGGCAGAGACGCUCUUCAGAGCACUGAAGCUGCGGGCGACUCGAGUCACAGACAAGAGGCGGGGUGCACGGGUCGGCACGAGCAUAGUGGCAGCUGCACGUUCUCGCGGAUUGGCGGCCUCCACAGGCACCUCUUGGGCGGUGCCGCGACUGCAUCAUCAGACGCCCCGGAGGACUCCUUGCGAAGCGCGUCUCGACUGCUUGCGCAGUCGCGUGUGCGCUUCGCGCGGUGGCUGCGCCGGCGGAAGCGACUUGAGGCAGCAAAGCGGUCACUGUGCGGCGUGGGUGCGUGGCCGAAGCCGACGACGGCGGCCGAUGCGGAGCACUUCGAUGCGUCCUCGUGUGCGCAACACUCGGCCGCCGCUCCACCGCCGUUCUCGCCUGCGUCUGAGUUGUAUCGGUGCGCUGCUGACGCCGCACAGUCGCCGUGGGAAUCGGCGUUGCCACCGACGUGGGCAGACAGGAGUGGCGGUGACAACAUGCUCAGGGAUGGAGAGGUGACUGAGGGUGCUACGGCUGCUACUAAGCGAACAACUCGCGCGCACGUGCUGGAGCAGCUGAGAGCCGCGAUUGCGGCAGGGAUGGCGGCGUGCAGCGCAGAGCAGGGAGGGCUGGUGACGCGGCAGACGACAUCGGAGGUGCAGUCGUCGGGUGGUGAACCGCCGGUGCUCUCUCUGGCUGCUCAGCGAACGCGUGAGCACGCCGACGAUCUAGCGCGCCUCACUGAGAGUCUGGCGAUGCUCACGCAAUCCGACGGAAGAGCUCCCGAAGGCUCUGGCAGUGCCAUCCGUGCCCACAGGGCCAACAGCCUCGAGGACGUGAAGCGCGCAUCUCCGAUGAUUCUGGACCAGAAGCGGAACGUGACAGCUGUACCGUCGCACCCUUCAGCAGGCAAGGCAACGAACGCUGCACUACCCGCGUGGUCGCCAUCUUGUGCGCAUGCCUCGUCGAUCAUCUCCGCCGGACAGCACCGCCGAUCGUACCACGGCAAUGCACGGGAUGCCCGUGGUGCAGAGCCGCGCACGCGUGACGGGAGGAGCUGUGUGCACGAGGUAGAGGUAGAGACCGCAGUAGAUGCGUUUCGAAGUCUGCUGACGGACACCACACACACCCCGCACGAUGUCGCAGUGCGGGCGGUGUAUGAGGCCAUCAUGAGUGAAGUGUGCGUCCCCCUUGUGCAGCGUGAUGUGCAGCACGCCAUGGACGUGAGCAGCAGCGCGGCAGAUCGUGCGCUGACGCAGUGGAUCGAGCGGCAUCUUAUGCUGGAACUGACGCAGCCGCGCGCAACGAAGGUGCAGGCGACAGCGUUGAAUGACGGCUCUGCCGCGUCCUCGGCGGCAACGCUGCAGCCGCUUGUCUGCACUGGUGUUAUGCGGCACAUCCGCAGUAGUGUGCCGGUGUCGCUCGAGCACCUGCGUCUGGACGACGCUGAUCGCCAAGUACUCGAAUCCGUCUACGCGCGCGGUGCGAGCAACGCCAUUGCAGUGAAGUUCGACACUGGGGGCUACGAGAUCAGCUACAGGCAGCUCGCCUCCUUGGGCCCCCGGUCGUGGCUGAACGACCAGGUCAUCAACAAUUACUUGCAGCUGCUGUGCGUGGAAGCGGAAGGCGCGGCCACCGCAUCUUUGCCCGCGGCCCGUUGCCGCCACCGUAUUGCGUCGCUGGGCACGCACUUCUACACGAAGGUGGAAUCCGAACUGAGCCAGAGCGUGGGCGGUUUUUGCAGCCCUCCACCACGCCUGCCGCAGCUCGACUCUAGCAGCGCCGUUUUCCGCUGGCUCCGCCAUCGCAAGCAUUUACUAGAGCCGUACAACCCCUCCGAUCCGCGUAGCGUGCGUGCGGUGCUAGUGCCCGUGAACAUCGAGGCGCAGCACUGGGCUUUGGCGGUCCUUUAUUGCGCGGACAACCGGUGGGUCAUGUACGACUCUAUGAGCCGAUCGGACAGGGCGCGCCAGCGCGGUGCUUUUAUACUGGCACAUCUCUCGCACGCGUGGCGAGAGUGCAAGCGACACUUUGGCCUCGUAAACACCAAAGGCACGCCCGCUGCUUCGGCAACCGUUGUUGCACAAGACUCACCGUCCUCUGUAGCACCACAACCGUCACUGUGGGCGUCGGCGUGCGUGGUGGCCGUGCCGUACGUGCCCUUCACCGACACGCUGUUGACGGAGGGGAGCUCUACUGCCGUAUCACCUCUCGAUUCCUUGCAGCCUUAUGACUCAUUGGACGAGCUGCACCGCGCAGCGAAGCGGAUACGACAUCAAGAGGAGCUGUUUGUGGAACAAACAGCACAGAAGGCGCUACAGGGAAUGAGCGGUGCUGGGGGAGCUGGCAGCGGUGUUGGCGCAGCGCUCGCAGUGCGAGCUGCGCCAACGCCGCCACCGGCACCUCUCUCGUUGACCGCUGCGACGGCUCUUCCUGCCGAGCAGCUGAGCGACACGGAGGUGGAGUGGUUCACAGGUGGGUUCGACCACAUCCCGCAGCAGGCGAACGGCAACGACUGCGGCGUCUUUGUAUGCCAGGCGGCCUGGUGCGUUGCCCAGGGUGUGGCGGUGAGUUUUACCCAGUCUGACGUCACCCGGCUGCGCGAAGUCAUUCUGCUGGAGCUGCUCAGCAAGCGACUUCUACGACGCUAUCCAACAGCGAACACGUCGUCGUCCAGCGGCGUCUGACGGACCGAGACAAACUUGUAAACACGCAUUCCACAUGCAUUCGUGCAGACAGAGAGAGAGGCACAUGAACGCUCUGUACCGUACGCUAUGGAGGAAGAUGUUGUUAGUGGGGAGACGCAUGUGAGAGAGAGGGCGAUGCGAUGGCUCAGUGGUAUUUCAAUCCUCUUUCAUUUUCCUUGUGUAGUCUUCUUCUCCGCCCUGAUGAAGGGCGGGCGCACCUGCGUGUGGCGCCACAGGGCGCAGUGCGUCCACACUCUGUCUGGGGAAGCCAGGAAGCCUUCCCCAUCCCCUGCGAAAUGCCAGAACCACUGCUGGUGGUGACAGGGCCAAUCACCCACGGCGUAGGGGGGAGGCCAGCGCGAUGCAUCCCUGCUGAUGUCUGCUGUGAUGCCCUGGAUGGCGUUGCGUCGGGUCGCCCCGCGACCAUGUGAGCGCGUUUGUGUCAUCCAUGUGAUGGACGCGGUGUAUCACAGUGACUCGGAUGCGUAGCCCGCCCGUCUCUCACAUUGCCCACUGCUGAUGCAGGGAGCCUGGGUGUCACCCCGAGAGGGAUGCACCAGGUGGCUGCCGACAUGAUGGGGCAGGGAGGGGGGGGCAGCUGUGAGGCGCCCUCCGAGGCGGGCGGGUGGGGGGAGGCGUUCGAGGCAGGGACCGUGCUCUCAGAUGGCUGAAUCGGCGCAUCGGUGUAGCACGCGCAUCUCACGCUGACUCACACUGUGCGAUGGGGGCCUGUGGCUAUGCGGGGGCAAGAGUGGGACUCUUGGCCUCAUGUUGUGUGGCAGAGAAAUGGGCAUGCGGAGCGCGAAAAGUGUCUUCCCUCCCUUUUCUCUCCUCUUUUGGCCACUGUGCGCGUGCUUGACUGACCAUGGCAUCUUGUUUGCCUUGUGGCGACGGCACUUGUGUACGUGAGCACGUUGGCUGUCGUCAUGUGUGUACGAAAGAUUGCUGAUCGGCAGGUCAACGCAGAUGCUGUUCCGCCUCCUCCUCCUGGUACUCGUUGCGGAGCGAAGUGAGCGGCCAAAAAGGUAAGCUAAAAUGAUAGAAAUGCUCGACGGGUGGCACGAAGGGAGCCGAAGGGUAGAAUCACAG